CGCCGAACCCUUUACCCGCCCGCCGUACCCACCCCAAACCCCCGCCGAUUCCUCCGCGCCAUCACCGGCGCCUUCCGUUCCUUCCCUUAAUCCUUCCCCGACCCCAGAAUUUCCUUUGUCAUCCAAAUCUCCGUAUUCUCACCCCAUCCAAGCUGUUCCGCUCAACGUCCACACAUCAUCCCCUCACCUCCCCGGCAGCUACAUCCAGAGGCGGCGUCCGGGCCUGAUGACAGGAGCGGUGAUAUGUGGACAAGCGGACAACACCCAACCGCGUCCCGCCCCCUCCAUCUGCGUCGUCUCCUCAGCGGCGGCAGCCUACGGGAAGGGGGCGGCAGCCCUUGGAGCAUCAGAACCUCUCUUGAUGGAGGGUGAGGAGGUUGAGCCAUAUCGUGAUCACCAUGGCUAUGUAUGCUGCCGCUUCCGGUGGCAUCAACCGUGCUCAUGGUGCACGCGUAUUGCCCGCCUCCACCCGGCACCCCUUCUCGCGUUCCACCGAUAUGGCACCGUAUUGGCGCCAGCAAAAAAAAAAAUGCAACAGAGCAUGACCCUUCCCCAAUCGAGCACCUACAGAAAUUUGUGGAUUUGACUCUUCCCUGAAAAAAGAUCCAGCGGAGCUUGACCUUUUCCCAUCGAGUACCUACAGGUUCUUGGUGCUUUUGUCCCCCUGAAAAGGUAGGAAUUUGUGGAUUUGAAUGAUGUCUGGGAUGGUAUCGCUCAAUUUGUUGGAAUUCUUGAACCCCUCCCUCUAGGCAGAUAGCUCAAUGACGAUGUAACACAGGUAUUUGUUUUGGUGUGGUUGCUGAAAUUUGUAGGCAAAAUCAUUGUACUUUUUCCCCUUAAAUAGGUCAUAUUUUGUUAUCAUGAUAACUUUACUCCUUAAUUCACUGUAAGAGUAUGACGUUCCAAAUGCAAAGAAGCUACUCCGACAUACAUGGACUUCUUGUUUUAUUCAUUCUCAAUGGCAGUACUAUGUAAGGGCAGCCUUGUAUCUAUGAUGCCUCCCUGAUUCCGAUGCCGAACUCCUCUGCUUGAAGUGUACUCGAAGAAAUGGCUCUGAUAGUUCAAGGGUUGUCAGCAAAAAAUAUGUUCUUCAUCUUAAUUUAUGGUAGUUCACCAAUCAUCAGAGGCAUCUUCUUUAUGUGCCACAGCAUGUAGCCCAUGAUAGUUUGCAUCAUCAGUACAGAGGUCUAGCAAUGUUUGGUAGGCAGGUUCCUUUUCAUAGAGGUAUAUUGUAGGUUAACAUUUCAGUUCAUAAGCAUCUUUUAUUUGUUGGGAAAAAUUACUGAUAUAUACGUGUGUUUCUUAUAGUUAGUGUUCUGAGCGUAACAAGAAAUAUCCAACCAUCAUCGACUACAGUUUCAUUAUGGAUAGAUUAUUCUCAUAGUGAACGCCGAGUAGUGCAAGAGAUUGGUUGUGAUUGUAAACUUCACUAUUUUGAGAAUGCUAGAUGAAGAGCCUGCAGAAUAAGAUGAUCGAAAUUGCUGGAUAAAUGUGGAAUAAUGAAAAUUGUUGUGUGUAGACAAGGUGAACAAUUUGCUCCAACUCAUCAGUAUCACUCUACUAUUCCAUAUCAUUGAUAAAUUGCAGGUGAUGCUAUGAAGAAGCUUGAGGAAAAACAACAGUAAUGAGAUGGAGAUUCAUAUGUGUUUUGGUUAUUUUUGGCUAAAAACAUGGAAUGGAUAAAAAUUGCUGUGUGCCUGCAAGAUUCUGUGAGGUCUUUUCUUUCCGGUUCAGAUAUCAGGAAUGCUCAAAAUAUGGUAGGUGAUUUCUGAAUGGCAGUUAUUUGGGGAAUAUAUAUGCUACACUUUUCAUGCUCAAAAUGUGGUGGGUGCUUAUUGAGUGGUUUCUUAAUCGCUGCAGCAUAAUAUUGUUUUUAUUCAACAAUAUUCAUAUUUCUGAUGCUUCUUGUUGUAGUGUGUUCGGAUGGAGCUGGAUCGGCAUGCUAGGCAAGAACCAAAGAGCCUUCCAGAUGUUCUCGAAAAUCAUCAUGCUUUGAGCUAAGAACCGUAUGAUAAUCCCUCUGACCUCAGUGCAUUGUUGCAUAAUUCUGGGUGAGUUCAGUUCAGCCUUUAUUCCUUUUAAAGGUGUUUCUUUAUAUCCUCUCAAUUGUCAGAGUUUAGGAAUAAAAUGAUGUAGGACAGCUGUAGUGCAAAUAUUGCAUUUGCUCUGAUGCGCUUGAAAGGCCAGGUUCCCUUGAGGUCUGUUGGAGUUUAUUGGAAUGAUAAUCAGUAUAUCCAAGGUGACCAAUCACUGCCAGUAGCGCUUGCUCAUGUAGGCCUGUUGGACUUUAUUGGAUCGAAGAGAUCUCAUUUUCAGUUUUGUGGAUCAAAUGACUUCAGAUACACUCAUAGUCUUUGUAUUCAUAUUUUCCCCUUUGGUCAAAACACUUGCACAAACAAACGUUCUACUACUGUCAUCUUAAUGUUCUGUUCAGGCUGAAAAUUAAAGAUGCUUUGUAGAGUAGGAUUGAUGAACCUCUCUUGUAUGUGCAUUCACUUUGUUGACCAUAGCCUGGUGAGAUAAGCUAAUGUCAAGUUUGUAUUGCCACAUUAUUGAUUUUUUAUUUAUUUAGGUGUCUGUCAUUCUGCUAAAAUCGUAAAAAGGAGUGUUUUUCAAAUAUAUCUCUGCAUGUUCCAGUCUUGUCCCUUUUGAACAUGAGAAGAAGCUUGCGGCAAUUCAAACUUGACAUUAGCCAGCAAUACGACCUGUAUCUAUUCUAUUUGUAGCAGGAGAAAGCCAAGCUCCACGUUGGAGGCUCGCACCAAGCCACCUGUGUUUAGCGUAGUCCCAUUGGAAUGCAUGCUGCUUGCAGGAUUAGACACCGUGACUGGCUUGGAGGAGCGAGAAGCGACCUCCGCGAGCAUCAGUGAUUUACUCAAUCAUUAGCAUAAAUUUCCAAACAUUAGAGCCUCUUGUAUCCAGGUCAUGAGUUAUAGAUGUUAUUUAUUAUAGUUAUAAACUUAUAGUGUACGUUCUAUGUAUCUAUGGGAAUUAAGCAUUAACCAUGUGAUAAAUAAAAAGACAACCCACUGUUUUGUCUCA